rnacentral:misc_RNA from 1 species
GCCCGGCUUGGCGUUGGGUCCCGUCGCGCGUCCGCCCCGACGGAUCCCAAAGAUAAUGGCAGAGCCCGCGUGGACCCUGGAUGCAGCGAGCUUUCUGGCACGCGUCGCAGCGGUCCUCCGGCUCGGUCUUGACCGUCACGGUUCCACCGUCACAUUCACUGGUUGACCUCGGAUCAGGUAGGGAUACCCGCUGAACUUAA